rnacentral:rRNA from 1 species
AAACUUUCAACAACGGAUCUCUUGGCUCUCGCAUCGAUGAAGAACGCAGCGAAAUGUGAUAAGUAAUGUGAAUUGCAGAAUUCAGUGAAUCAUCGAAUCUUUGAACGCAUCUUGCACUCCUUGGUAUUCCGAGGAGUAUGUCUGUUUGAGUGUC